GGGGUUGUAGCUCAGCGGUAGAGCGCUAGCCUCAUACAUGUGAGACCCUGGGUUCAAAUCCCAGCACCA
rnacentral:tRNA from 1 species